rnacentral:rRNA from 1 species
UACGUGGGGGGGCGAGCGUUGUCCGGAAUCAUUGGGCGUAAAGCGCGUGUAGGCGGCCCGGUAAGUCCGCUGUGAAAGUCCAGGGCUCAACCCUGGGAUGCCGGUGGAUACUGUCGGGCUCGAGUCCGGAAGAGGCGAGUGGAAUUCCUGGUGUAGCGGUGAAAUGCGCAGAUAUCAGGAGGAACACCAAUGGCGAAGGCAGCUCGCUGGGACGUGACUGACGCUGAGACGCGAAAGCGUGGGGGAGCAAACAGG